rnacentral:rRNA from 1 species
UACGUAGGGGGCUAGCGUUGUCCGGAAUCAUUGGGCGUAAAGCGCGUGUAGGCGGCUCGAUAAGUCCGCUCUGAAAGUCCAGGGCUCAACCCUGGGAUGCGGGUGGAUACUGUCGGGCUCGAGUCCGGAAGAGGCGAGUGGAAUUCCCGGUGUAGCGGUGAAAUGCGCAGAUAUCGGGAGGAACACCAAUGGCGAAGGCAGCUCGCUGGGACGUGACUGACGCUGAGACGCGAAAGCGUGGGGAGCGAACAGG